rnacentral:rRNA from 1 species
UGGAGGUAGUGACAAUAAAUCACAAUGCGGAACAAUGUUUUGCAAUUGGAUUGAGAACAACGUACAAACCUUAUCGAUAAACAAUUGGAGGGCAAGUCUGGUGCCAGCAGCCGCGGUAAUUCCAGCUCCAAUAGCGUAUAUUAACGUUGUUGCAGUUAAAAAGCUCGUAGUUGAAAUGAAGGGUAGUUGUGUAAUGAAUACAUUCGUGUAUUUUGUUAUUCUACUACCCUCCUUCUAAAUUCGAUAUAUGAGUAUUAAUUUACUUGUAUAUGGUUUUAGACUUUUACUGUGAGAAAAUUAGAGUGUUCAAAGCAGGCAUUUGCUUGAAUAUAUUAGCAUGGAAUAAUCAUGUAUGAUUUUCAUGAUGUAUUUGAUUGGUUUGGUUCAUGAGAAUAAGAUUAAAAGGGACAGUUGGGGGUAUUCAUAUUCAAUAGUCAGAGGUGAAAUUCUCGGAUUUAUGGAAGAUGAACAAGUGCGAAAGCAA